rnacentral:lncRNA from 1 species
AUUUUUCCAUCCCUAAGUUACUUCCCCACUCUUAAGUUGAGUUCAUAAAUAGCAUACGUUAGCAUAUAACUAACACAAUAUGAUUUCUUUCUCUUUUGUUGAAUUAGUUUUUAAAUAUAAAAUAGUAUAUAAUAAAUUAUAAUAAAUAAUUAAAUUUAAUAAUUAAAUUUCUAUUGCAUAUCAAACAAUGAGCCCAGACUUCAAAGGUUUCACAAAUGUGAAUUAAGCAACCCC